rnacentral:rRNA from 1 species
ACUAAGUUUCAACAACGGAUCUCUUGGCUCUCGCAUCGAUGAAGAACGCAGCGAAAUGCGAUAAGUAAUGUGAAUUGCAGAAUUCAGUGAAUCAUCGAAUCUUUGAACGCACCUUGCGCUCCUUGGUAUUCCUUGGAGCAUGCCUGUUUGAGUGUCAUGAAAU